rnacentral:lncRNA from 1 species
GUGCUUUGUUUUCUGUGGGGUCUUCAUGGAUGCCAGCUGGUCUGGUGCCUAAGGUUUCAGUUGUCCGGUAUAGAUGGCGGUUGGGUUUUGUGUCGUUUUAUGCUCUCUCAAUGAGAUAUUUCCUCGCUGUUGGUAUUUCGGUUGCGGUGGUGUGGUUAAUGGUCUUCCUGUUUCUAUUGUUUGUUCUUGCCACACAUGGCAUAUCAUAUCAAUUGCUGCAGGUAGUAAAUGACUUUGAGUGGCAUAUGACAUCCAUAACAUGUAACAGAUUAAGUAAUCUGCUUGAACUAAUUGAAUAAUUUAUAAGAUUAUGUGAUAGAUAUAAUUGGUGAAAAUAUUGUUGGUCAUAGAAUUAGUGUGUAUACACACUUCUCAAGUUACAAACUUAAUUCUUACAUAAAUUUUGUUCAUUACCUGGAUACUGCUG